UACAUGAGCGACAAGCAUUAUCCGCAAUUAUUGGGUGUAGGGGAUGUGUAGACGGUUUAUAAAGUUCAGAUUAACUAAACAAAUUAUUUAGAUUUUAUGAAAACUAUAAACUUGAGUUUAUUGGGGGUGAAUAUAAUUUAUAAACGAGCGAUAAAAUGCGAAAAAUUUAUAAUUUAUACCAAUGGUGAAAACGAUUUACCACUCUAAACUGACGUUGAGGCAUGAAAGUAUAGGAAUCAAACAGG
rnacentral:rRNA from 1 species